GCACCCUUCGGGGUUGCACACGAUAAAAUUGGAACGAUACAGAGAAGUUGGUUUUUACCGCCACGGCCAAUGAACCGCUUAGUAAUGUUUUUCCCACACCACCUAUAGCCUGCUAAUUACAUAAUCACACUGAUUAGCAUGGCCCCUGCACAAGGAUGACACACUUUUCCGGAGUGGUAGACCUACGGGUCUCAAUAUUUAU
rnacentral:snRNA from 1 species